rnacentral:piRNA from 1 species
UGCCGAGGCUUCCUGUGUUGGCCGUGC